UUUGUGUUAGUUUCAUAAAAAAAAUGCAACUUAUUAUUUUGACAAGUAGUUUAGUUAGGCUCAAAUACCUCCAGAGAUUAAAUGCACUUCGCUAAAUGACACUUUGAUGGUUUUGAUAAUAAUUUAAGAGUGAGUUUUUGGGUUGAUUUUGCGUUAGUUUUCGAAAUUCAUCCAAGGGAGCCAGGGACAGAUCUAGCUUUUUAUCAGACAUUUAGGGCAUCACAACCUUAAAAACUAAACAUUACAACAUUUUCAAAGCUCAAAAGUGUAUAAAUAAUAGACUAAUUAUAUAAAAAUAGCAUAAAUGAGAGUGGAAGUAAGCCCAAGCCAGAGCCAGGAACAGAUCCAGCUUUUUCUUAGACAUUUAGGGCAUCACAGCCUUAAAAAACUAAAGAUUACAACAUUUUCAAAGCUCAAAAGUGUGUAAAUAAUAGACAAAUCACAUAAAAAUAGCAUAAAUGAGAGUGGAGGUAAGUCCAAGUCAGAGCCAGGAACAGAUCUAGCUUUUUCUUAAACAUUUAGGGCAUCACAACUUUAAAAAAAACUAGACAUUACAAUAUUUUCAAAGCUCAAAAGUGUGCAAAUAAUAGGCAAAUUACAUAGAAAUAGCAUAAAUGAGGGUAAAAACAAGUCCAAGCCAGAGCCAGGGACAGACAUUCGGAGAGAGGCAAGAUGGAGAAGGGGGCGGGGAGGACGAAGAAGGAGACAUUCACUUUUUCAUGGACGUUGAUGCUUCCUGACAUUAUUCCCCUGCUCGUGUAUCAGCAAGAGACCGAGGAGGAGUGAUCGCAUAUAUCUACGGGGAUGACGAGCCCCUCAGACUGCCCAGGGGGACGGUGGGGCAAGGUGACCAGGGGAUUCCAGCUCCACGGGUAAGGGUCGUGGACAGCCAGCGGACUGGAGAGCUUUCCCUUGAGGACUUUGUGCUGGUCUUUAUUGUGAUGGACCCCACAACAGCCCUCGGCAAGCAUCUGCGUAUAUCUUCAGGAGCCGGGGUUAGUCUCGAAGGCAGGCUUGGAUGCCGAAGAGAUGUCCGUAAACCCUGACAAGGCAGCCGUGGCCUCGGAGAGCAGGAUAGGGAGGCAGUUUCAACGCUUCCUCUCCGUUGACGCCUUUCCAAUGAGCUGAUGUCGGCGCUGCACUUCCUUGAAUACAGUAGGAAGGACAAGCCACCUCUCAGCUGGGGAGAGGUGGUUGUGGUGAAGCCAGGCCAGUAAAUCAUCUCCCUGCGUUGCUCUGCUUCAUUGAGAGUGAGCCACAGAUGUUGGUGCUCAGCUCACUGUGCUGCAUCCUAGGUGUGAUAUACUUGUGGCUCAUGACCGGUGACUUGGCCCUCCGACAACCUGCUGCCGGGAUGGAGAGAUUCACUGGGAGGUAAAGCCGCCUGGUGAUCUACCUACCAAAGCUGUCCGUUCAUUGCUUCUUUCUGUUCAAAGAGAAAAAUGUUUGUCAACUAAAGAAUUUCUUGUUGACGACUUGCAUAGUGAGAAUGAUAGCAAUAAGCAUCACCAGUUCAUCAGACAGCUCCUGGGGUUGCUCGGCCUAGUCUGGCUGUUUCUGCUACUGCAUCAUGUCAUCACCCUCCCUGAAGGUGCCGGCCUCUGGGUUUGCAGUCUGCUGGAAGAAUGUGAUUUAGCUCAUUUAAGUCUACACAGUACUGCUAUUCUCUCACUGGCAAUAGUUUGGAUGUCACAACUAUAAUAUGAAAAUGCAAAUGGAUGUGCUGAAUGAUGCUGCAGUAUUGCCAAAUUAUCUGUGUAGGUGCAAAGUUAUACAAGUGACAACCUCAGUCUACACAAACAAGGUAUUCAAGGCUAUUGCUGAAAAACUGUCAACCAAAUCUAGUACUCAUACUACUAAAUUUGGGUAAUGUUCAAAUACACUUAGACCAGCUUAACAUCAUUGAAGAAUACAACUUCCUCAGAAGAACCUGAAGUAUGUCUCUUCCUCCUAAAAAAGACUUAGAAUACAAUUUAGUACACAGUAAGUGUUGCAUGAAAUAUGUAUGCUGUACUGAAUACUUUUACUAAACUGCUGCAAAAUACAAGGGUGAAACUUUGACAAACUCGGAAAAAUAAAAUAGAAUCUGAAAGAUUAAAAAUGUAAAAAAGC